rnacentral:rRNA from 1 species
UACGGAGGGGGCGAGCGUUAUUCGGAAUUAUUGGGCGUAAAGAGCUCGUAGGCGGUUUGUCGCGUCUGCCGUGAAAGUCCGGGGCUCAACUCCGGAUCUGCGGUGGGUACGGGCAGACUAGAGUGAUGUAGGGGAGACUGGAAUUCCUGGUGUAGCGGUGAAAUGCGCAGAUAUCAGGAGGAACACCGAUGGCGAAGGCAGGUCUCUGGGCAUUAACUGACGCUGAGGAGCGAAAGCAUGGGGAGCGAACAGG